rnacentral:rRNA from 1 species
UCUUGGUCAAUUUAGAGGAAGUAAAAGUCGUAACAAGGUUUCCGUAGGUGAACCUGCGGAAGGAUCAUUACCGAACCGUCGACACGAGUUGUUGCUGGUCCUCGAGAGGGGGCACGUGCACGCUCUGUUUACACAUCCACUCACACCUGUGCACCCUCUGUAGUUCUGUGGCCUCGGGGGCUCCGUCCCCUCGCCGUGGUCCUACGUCUUUACACACACGCCGUAACGAAGUCUCAUGGAAUGUAUGUCGCGCUCGACGCAAUACAAUACAACUUUCAGCAACGGAUCUCUUGGCUCUCGCAUCGAUGAAGAACGCAGCGAAAUGCGAUAAGUAAUGUGAAUUGCAGAAUUCAGUGAAUCAUCGAAUCUUUGAACGCACCUUGCGCCCUUUGGCCAUUCCGAAGGGCAUGCCUGUUUGAGUAUCAUGAACACCUCAACUCUCGUGGCCUGCCACGAUGAGCUUGGACUUUGGGGGUCUUGCCGGCGUACCGUCGGCUCCUCUCAAAUGAAUCAGCUUGCCAGUGUUUGGUGGCAUCACGGGUGUGAUAACUGUCUACGCUUGUGGUUUUCCGCCAGGCAACCUCCGGUGACGGGGGUUCGCUGGAGCUCACGAACGACGUCUCUCCUCGGCGAGGACGGCUUUUUUGACGUUUGAUCUCAAAUCAGGUAGGACUACCCGCUGAACUUAAGCAUAUCAAUAAGCGGAGGAAAAGAAACUAACAAGGAUUCCCCUAGUAACUGCGAGUGAAGCGGGAAGAGCUCAAAUUUAAAAUCUGGCGUGCCCCUGGCCGUCCGAGUUGUAGUCUGGAGAAGCGUUUUCCGCGCUGGACCGUGAA